GGACCACUCACGCGGCGCCACGUGGAAGUGUGGGCCCUUGCUGUCUCUCCUCCUCUUCUCUCCCACGUCGUUCCAAUUCAAACCAACGCGCGGGCAUUCUCUCUCUCUCCUCUCUCUCCUCUCUCUCACUCUAUCCCUUCUUUCCUGACCCGACGACUCUCUCCCAAAUAGCGCUCGCUCUCCGACGACGACGGCCGCGCUCUCUCCGACGACGGCAACGCUCCCUGCCGACGACGGCCUGUCUCUCUACUCGCCGGCCUCUUCGCUCUCCGACGACGGCCGCCCUCUCUUCGACGACGGCGACGCUCCCUCCCGACGACGGCCGUGCUCUCUUCGACGACGGCGACGCUCCCUCCUGACGACGGCCUCUCUCUCUACUCCACGGCCUCUUCGCUCUCCGACGACGGCGACUCUCCCUGCCGACUACGGCCCCUCUCUCUACUCGACGGCCUCCUCCUCCUGACCUCUUUCUUCCCGAAUCGCGCUCUCUCCUGACGCUGGGCCUUCUCCGACGAGGACCGCGCUCUCUCCGCUAUGGUCAAAGCCGUCUCUCCCGAGAAGCCCUAGAUCUGCGACGACAAUCCCCGCUUCACUUCCUACAGGGCCGACGAGGUCCUUGGUCGGAACUGCUCAAUAAGCUUAGUGACACACAAUGCCAGCCGGAGUCACAGUUGAAGUUCAUCAUAGAGGCCUGGCAACAGAUAGUUGAGUGUAGGCGAGUGCUCAAGUGGACAUAUGCAUAUGGUUAUUAUCUACCAGAAUAUGAUCAUGCUAAGAAACAAUUUUUUGAGUAUUUGCAAGGUGAGGCAGAGUUCGGAUUGGAAAGGCUUCAUUAGUGUGCAGAGAAGGAACUUCACCAGUUCCUUAGUGAUGAGAAUCCUUCUAGUAACUUUAAUGACUUCCGCACCAAGUUAGCUGGACUUACUAGUGUGACCAGAAACUACUUUGACAACCUCGUGAGAGCAUUGGAGAAUGGGCUAUCAGAUGUGAAUUCCCAUGGUGGUUGUAGCAGGGCAGCGAGCUCUAAGAAUGGAGGGAGCAGCAAGGCAAGUAGAGGUGGUGGAAGGGGAAAAGGAACUACCAGCACUCGAGCUGGUUCCAGCUGAACCGACGUAUGUUAAUGUUAAAUCUGCAACCACUUGCCAGAUGUGCCAGCAUUGCAAAUGAGGGCAGUGACGGGAAAAUUUACAAAGAAGGAUGGUUUUCUCCAGAAACAUGACUUUCAUGGACAAGGAACCAGUUCAAGCGCAUGGGCAGUGUCCUAUAAAAGGAUUAUUGGUAUGAAUCGUUCAAGUUCCCAGUGACAUAUCAAUUAUUAGGAGGCUUAACUGUUGGUGUGGUGUGCUGACUGAUUCAAGCACGAGCAGCAGCAGCUUUCGGCCUGUGUUUACUCUUGUUGUGUGUUGAGGGUGGUGGCCUAUAAUGCUGGCCCAUGUAUAUACGCUGUAGGGUUUCAUUGUCGGUAUCGUACUAAUUUGGCAAAGAAAAAGAAAUAGUGACUGUCACCAAACAUUUAAUAUUUCAUCUAUUUGCUGCUGGAAGAGGCAAAUAUACUCUGUUUGUCUUAUAUUUUGCAUAUUACUUUGUCUAUUGGAGCUCAUCUGAUCCUUAUUUUGAAAGGAA